ensembl:lncRNA STARD13-AS STARD13 antisense RNA
UAGAGGAAGGAGGUUGCGGGUAGAAGACUCCAUACUUUCUGUGACGCCUAUUCCUUAGCUUGUGAUGAAUGUUUUCUCAGUAUCCUAUGCUGAAAACAGGUAGAUACUAAUAUCGAUCUUCAAGGGAGGGCUGUUGAGUAUUGAAUAAGACAAAAACAUGGAAGCAAUCAGCACCAUGCUGGAAUCAAGGCUAUCUGUAAUCACAGGGCUAUUUGAAAAAGAGAAGAAAAGGUGUCUUGAAAUUCAACCAACAUGUUUCAAUUAUUUGCUCCUAAGAACAACAGAAGUUUCAACAUUCUGCCAACAGAGUAACUCCUGGAAGAUUGGCACAGAAGAAGGCACAAGGAGAGCCUUUAUAUAACCAAAGAUAUUUUUGGACCAUGAAUUCAGAAAUUCUCGGAGCCACCCAUCAGUGCCUGAGCUUCAGUGAGUCCAUAUCCCAUGUCACCCACGGCAAAGGAGACUCUAAGACUUCUGAAGAGUUUCUUGCUUCUUUCCUGUGGGGCAGUGACUCCACUUCCCAGCAGUAAUGGAAUAUCCUGAAUUAGCUACAUUAAUGUUAGAACCAUUUGGACCUCACCCAGGACUUCAACUACAUUAUGGUAAGACAAAGCCAGAGCUAGAAGGCAAUAAUUUCUUCCUUCUGGCUCAACAGUACCUAUCUUGUAGAGUUAUUUGAGGAAUGGUUGUAUUCUUGAUGUUAUAAUUAUUAACUCUACCCAUAUACCGAC